GAGACAUCUCACUACACCCAGGAGCAGCCACUUCCCCAGCUCUCCUCCUCCUCCUUCGCCUCCUCCUCCUCCACUCCCCCCCUUUAUUACCCUUUGUGUCAUCCUCCACAGCUCCAGGGAAGGCACUCAAAAGUGGGGGGCAGGAAAGACAGUUAUCAACUUUCCAGUUUUCUAUGGAUAUGAAGAUUUACUCCUAGUCAUCAGUGGGACCCCAUGAAGUCAGCCAGAAAGCCUUUGUCCAACUUAUGUACCUUUGUAAACUUGUCUGGAUUUUGAAUGUUGAGAGCACAAAUGAACAAAGAAGAAUAUGCAACAAAAACUAUGAACAUUGAAGAUGGGAGUUUCUGCAUGUGGGAACUAGACACUGAAGCUUUAUGGUUUACAGACAAGAUCUUUAGAAGUUAGACACUCAAGGACCAAGAAAAUAAACACCAGAAACCAAGAGCACAAAAUAUUUUCUUCAUCAGUACAUAGAAUCCUGAUAUUUCUCUAAUUCCAUCAGACGCAGAGGAAUGACUACCUUGGUAGAUGGCCACAGAGGAUGUCAACAAUUUUUUGGAG